UACGGAGGGUGCGAGCGUUGUCCGGAUUUAUUGGGUUUAAAGGGUGCGUAGGCGGCCGUUUAAGUCUGGGGUGAAAGCCCGCUGCUCAACAGCGGAACUGCCCUGGAUACUGGAUGGCUUGAGUACAGACGAGGUUGGCGGAAUGGACAGAGUAGCGGUGAAAUGCAUAGAUACUGUCCAGAACCCCGAUUGCGAAGGCAGCUGACUAGGCUGUUACUGACGCUGAGGCACGAAAGCGUGGGGAGCGAACAGG
rnacentral:rRNA from 1 species